GGACAUGUUUGGACAAAAUAGUUUACUGGCUUGUGUCGUCUGGAUGUCCAAGGUUGGAUUAUGGCCGUUUUUUGUGGAAUAUUUUCAUCUGUGUGUAUUAAUGAACCCGGAAAUGUGAGUCGCGCUGUGUGCUUUGAAGCCGUGUACAGAGAACGGAUGGAUGGAUGUUCGUUUUUGUCGGACAAAUGUGUUUUUCUCACCCGCUGUGGUAAUCGCAUCUGAAAGUGGUUUAUACCGGCGGAUUCAUGAGAAUCUAAGAUUUCCAUCGGCGUAUAAUGUUUAUAUAAUCGCGUUUGCAGCCUUUGGACAUUCUUUAAAUUCCUAUGCAAAUUCGUAAGUGUACUGCCGGUGGUACACUGAAGUUUAACGGGUUAAAAAUGCUCGAGUUUGCAGCGCAAACUCCCAGCGCAAACUAAAUACUCCCAGUCCCGCUUGACUUCUCGCUCAGCUUUUGCCUCCAGCAUAAGCCCCGCCCACAAAAAACGUCACAAUGUUUGUAAACAAAUAAAGGGUCUAUAUUCACAUUUUAUAAAUCUCUUUAUAGCUCUAAACUCUCUACUCAAGAAACUGAUCUUUUUUAUAUUUGAUAAAUACCUGGGCCUCCAAAAUAGAUGAGGAUUUCAAAACCCUGACUGAAGCUGAAAUCUCUAACAGAGUUGGACACUGCUAUUUCACAGAUGCCCAGCGGACAGUCACCAGGCCCAGACGGCCUCACAACUGAGUUUUUCAAACAUUUCUGGCCUGAUAUUCGAGAUCUGAUCCAUGAUGCCUUUAAAGAAUGCUUAGGCAAUCAAUCAGUUGCCUUGUAGGAGUCGAGACAGCUGCAGGACAUUCCACUAAUCAUCUGCCUCCGCUAUAAAAGACUGGUUCACACUCCCAUUCUCUGCCAGAACCGGCUGUCCUGACUCCUGCCUGCCGAGCUCUGCCUGUUUCCCCCGUUGAAUCCUCCAGACACCGUGAGACCCUCCGAAUCCCCUCCUGGACCCCUUCCUUCUGGUGCCCCCCCGGAGAACUCCUGCCUCUGAUCAGCCGGCUCGGUCCGUUUCCCCGCCUGGAUCGCCUGCAUUCGUCAUCACCGUCCCUUCGGCGCCGUCCCUCCCGGAUCUCCAUCCCCAGUCACGCUCCAUCGCCGCCAGGGAUCCAAGCGCUAACUGCAGCCACACUCUGCUCCCUCCACCGGACCAACGACGGCCGCCGAUCCCCGGCUCACCCUCCCCGGAACCGGACUAAUAUCCAGGUGCACUCCCAGCUCACCUCGGACCCACCUGCCCACUCAGGGCCGGCCGCUGGCAUAAACACUCUAUGCCGUUGUUUAUAGCCACAUCCACUAGAGGGGGCCACACCACAAUAAGUGUGCGAUUCGCUUUUUGUCCCCGUCUUUAUUCCAAUAAAACAUAAAUCUGUUAAUGCUGUUAAUCAUGUGCAUGUGUGUUUUAACCCAAUUACAAGCUGUGCACAUGAUUUGGUAGUUGCCCUGUGCAUGUUUUGGGGCCACAAAAAAAAAAAAAAAUCGUACUUAGGAUCACCAAAGUCCGAGGGCCGGCCCUGUGCCCACUAACCACACUGGUUUUACAAUAAAUCUCCUUAAUCUUC